GACGAACGCUGGCGGCGUGCUUAACACAUGCAAGUCGAACGAAGAGCGAUGGAAGCUUGCUUCUAUCAAUCUUAGUGGCGAACGGGUGAGUAACGCGUAAUCAACCUGCCCUUCAGAGGGGGACAACAGUUGGAAACGACUGCUAAUACCGCAUACGAUCUAAUCUCGGCAUCGAGGAUAGAUGAAAGGUGGCCUCUACAUGUAAGCUAUCACUGAAGGAGGGGAUUGCGUCUGAUUAGCUAGCUGGAGGGGUAACGGCCCACCAAGGCGAAGAUCAGUAGCCGGUCUGAGAGGAGGAACGGCCAAAUUGGGACUGGGACACGGCCCAGGACCCUACGGGAGGGAGCAGUGGGGAAUCUUCCGCAAUGGGCGAAAGUCUGACGGAGCAACGCCGGGUGAGCGAUGACGGCCUUCGGGUUGGAAAGCUCUGUUAAUCGGGACGAAAGGCCUUCUUGCGAAUAGUGAGAAGGAUUGACGGUACCGGAAUAGAAAGCCACGGCUAACUACGUG
rnacentral:rRNA from 1 species